rnacentral:rRNA from 1 species
CGGGAGAAAGCGGGGGAUCGAAAGACCUCGCGCGGUUGGAUGGACCGAUGUUCGAUUAGCUAGUUGGUGAGGUAAUGGCUCACCAAGGCGACGAUCGAUAGCUGGUCUGAGAGGAUGAUCAGCCACACUGGGACUGAGACACGGCCCAGACUCUACGGGAGGCAGCAGUGGGGAAUAUUGGACAAUGGGCGCAAGCCUGAUCCAGCAAUGCCGCGUGUGUGAAGAAGGCCUUCGGGUUGUAAAGCACUUUUAUCAGGAGCGAAAUACCACGGGUUAAUACCCUAUGGGGCUGACGGUACCUGAGGAAUAAGCACCGGCUAACUUCGUGCCAGCAGCCGCGGUAAUACGAAGGGUGCAAGCGUUAAUCGGAAUUACUGGGCGUAAAGGGUGCGUAGGCGGUUCGUUAAGUCUGUUGUGAAAUCCCCGGGCUCAACCUGGGAAUGGCAAUGGAUACUGGCGAGCUAGAGUGUGAUAGAGGAUGGUGGAAUUCCCGGUGUAGCGGUGAAAUGCGUAGAGAUCGGGAGGAACAUCAGUGGCGAAGGCGGCCAUCUGGAUCAACACUGACGCUGAAGCACGAAAGCGUGGGGAGCAAACAGGAUUAGAUACCCUGGUAGUCCACGCCCUAAACGAUGCGAACUGGAUGUUGGUCUCAACUCGGAGAUCAGUGUCGAAGCUAACGCGUUAAGUUCGCCGCCUGGGGAGUACGGUCGCAAGACUGAAACUCAAAGGAAUUGACGGGGGCCCGCACAAGCGGUGGAGUAUGUGGUUUAAUUCGAUGCAACGCGAAGAACCUUACCUGGCCUUGACAUGUCUGGAAU